rnacentral:tRNA from 1 species
GCCGGUAGAGCCGGUGAAAACCGGCGAUAUAGGACCUGAGCCUUCCAAGCUCAUGGCCCGGGUUCAAAUCCCGGUCGCCGCA